rnacentral:rRNA from 1 species
GAUUAAGUUAUUAAGGGCGCACGGUGGAUGCCUUGGCACUAGAAGCCGAUGAAGGACGUUACUAACGACGAUAUGCUUUGGGGAGCUGUAAGUAAGCUUUGAUCCAGAGAUUUCCGAAUGGGGAAACCCAGCAUGAGUUAUGUCAUGUUAUCGAUAUGUGAAUACAUAGCAUAUCAGAAGGCACACCCGGAGAACUGAAACAUCUUAGUACCCGGAGGAAGAGAAAGAAAAUUCGAUUCCCUUAGUAGCGGCGAGCGAAACGGGAAGAGCCCAAACCAACAAGCUUGCUUGUUGGGGUUGUAGGACACUCUAUACGGAGUUACAAAGGACGACAUUAGACGAAUCAUCUGGAAAGAUGAAUCAAAGAAGGUAAUAAUCCUGUAGUCGAAAAUGUUGUCUCUCUUGAGUGGAUCCUGAGUACGACGGAGCACGUGAAAUUCCGUCGGAAUCUGGGAGGACCAUCUCCUAAGGCUAAAUACUCUCUAGUGACCGAUAGUGAACCAGUACCGUGAGGGAAAGGUGAAAAGCACCCCGGAAGGGGAGUGAAAUAGAACCUGAAACCGUGUGCUUACAAGUAGUCAGAGCCCGUUAAUGGGUGAUGGCGUGCCUUUUGUAGAAUGAACCGGCGAGUUACGAUUUGAUGCAAGGUUAAGCAGUAAAUGUGGAGCCGUAGCGAAAGCGAGUCUGAAUAGGGCGUUUAGUAUUUGGUCGUAGACCCGAAACCAGGUGAUCUACCCUUGGUCAGGUUGAAGUUCAGGUAACACUGAAUGGAGGACCGAACCGACUUACGUUGAAAAGUGAGCGGAUGAACUGAGGGUAGCGGAGAAAUUCCAAUCGAACCUGGAGAUAGCUGGUUCUCUCCGAAAUAGCUUUAGGGCUAGCCUCAAGUGAUGAUUAUUGGAGGUAGAGCACUGUUUGGACGAGGGGCCCCUCUCGGGUUACCGAAUUCAGACAAACUCCGAAUGCCAAUUAAUUUAACUUGGGAGUCAGAACAUGGGUGAUAAGGUCCGUGUUCGAAAGGGAAACAGCCCAGACCACCAGCUAAGGUCCCAAAAUAUAUGUUAAGUGGAAAAGGAUGUGGCGUUGCCCAGACAACUAGGAUGUUGGCUUAGAAGCAGCCAUCAUUUAAAGAGUGCGUAAUAGCUCACUAGUCGAGUGACACUGCGCCGAAAAUGUACCGGGGCUAAACAUAUUACCGAAGCUGUGGAUUGUCCUUUGGACAAUGGUAGGAGAGCGUUCUAAGGGCGUUGAAGCAUGAUCGUAAGGACAUGUGGAGCGCUUAGAAGUGAGAAUGCCGGUGUGAGUAGCGAAAGACGGGUGAGAAUCCCGUCCACCGAUUGACUAAGGUUUCCAGAGGAAGGCUCGUCCGCUCUGGGUUAGUCGGGUCCUAAGCUGAGGCCGACAGGCGUAGGCGAUGGAUAACAGGUUGAUAUUCCUGUACCACCUAUAAUCGUUUUAAUCGAUGGGGGGACGCAGUAGGAUAGGCGAAGCGUGCGAUUGGAUUGCACGUCUAAGCAGUAAGGCUGAGUAUUAGGCAAAUCCGGUACUCGUUAAGGCUGAGCUGUGAUGGGGAGAAGACAUUGUGUCUUCGAGUCGUUGAUUUCACACUGCCGAGAAAAGCCUCUAGAUAGAAAAUAGGUGCCCGUACCGCAAACCGACACAGGUAGUCAAGAUGAGAAUUCUAAGGUGAGCGAGCGAACUCUCGUUAAGGAACUCGGCAAAAUGACCCCGUAACUUCGGGAGAAGGGGUGCUCUUUAGGGUUAACGCCCAGAAGAGCCGCAGUGAAUAGGCCCAAGCGACUGUUUAUCAAAAACACAGGUCUCUGCUAAACCGUAAGGUGAUGUAUAGGGGCUGACGCCUGCCCGGUGCUGGAAGGUUAAGAGGAGUGGUUAGCUUCUGCGAAGCUACGAAUCGAAGCCCCAGUAAACGGCGGCCGUAACUAUAACGGUCCUAAGGUAGCGAAAUUCCUUGUCGGGUAAGUUCCGACCCGCACGAAAGGCGUAACGAUUUGGGCACUGUCUCAACGAGAGACUCGGUGAAAUCAUAGUACCUGUGAAGAUGCAGGUUACCCGCGACAGGACGGAAAGACCCCGUGGAGCUUUACUGUAGCCUGAUAUUGAAAUUCGGCACAGCUUGUACAGGAUAGGUAGGAGCCUUUGAAACGUGAGCGCUAGCUUACGUGGAGGCGCUGGUGGGAUACUACCCUAGCUGUGUUGGCUUUCUAACCCGCACCACUUAUCGUGGUGGGAGACAGUGUCAGGCGGGCAGUUUGACUGGGGCGGUCGCCUCCUAAAAGGUAACGGAGGCGCUCAAAGGUUCCCUCAGAAUGGUUGGAAAUCAUUCAUAGAGUGUAAAGGCAUAAGGGAGCUUGACUGCGAGACCUACAAGUCGAGCAGGGUCGAAAGACGGACUUAGUGAUCCGGUGGUUCCGCAUGGAAGGGCCAUCGCUCAACGGAUAAAAGCUACCCCGGGGAUAACAGGCUUAUCUCCCCCAAGAGUUCACAUCGACGGGGAGGUUUGGCACCUCGAUGUCGGCUCAUCGCAUCCUGGGGCUGUAGUCGGUCCCAAAUA